GUUUAUUCAAAAUGACCUCCGUGAUUUUUAAUACAGGCCUUCAAUCUGCGCGGCCAGUCGUCUAUCGCAGCACGAACGAAGUCCAUGUCAAUAUCGGCGGCUGCCUUAAUCAAAGAUGUCUUAAGUGACUCCAAAUUGGGAUGAGGCUUUGAGCACGCCUUUUCCUCCAAGUGUUGCCAUAUCUUGUAAUCUAACGGAUUCAAAUCUGGACUGGAGGAGGGCCAGUCUUCGUGCCGGAUGAAAUCGAUUUCACGCGCCGCCAGCCAGUCUUGUGUGCUCUUUGCUCUAUGAGCUGGCGCCGAAUCUUGUUGGAAUACCCAGUGCCUGUUAUCGAACAUGGUAUGAGAAACAGGUUCCACAAGGUUCGUCAGGACUGUAUUUUGAUACACAACUGCAUUCGUUUUUACACCUUUCUCACAAAAAUGUACCUCUGUUAAGCCCCAAUAAGAAACUCCCAACCAUACCGUGAGCGAGGAUGGAAAAUGACCUCGUUGGACACGCGGAAUACGGUUGCUCGCUUCUUCACUACUGUGUGCGUACACAGUAUCAUUCUGUUUGUUGUAGCUCUCUUCUACGGUAAAAAUUUUUUCAUCCGAAAAAAGAAUUUCCCGAUAUUUUUUUCCCGCGUACCGUUUCGACAAAGCGCGGCAUCUCUUCAGUCUCAGGUCCAUUAGACGAGCAUUCAAACAAUGUCCUGUUUUUCUUCGAUAUGCCCGAAGCCCUAAGUCUUCAUUUAACACCCUUUUUACCGUGGUUCUGCUUAACCCCAUCUGAAGGGCCAACAGUUUCUGCUUACGUUUGGGAUUUCUUUGAAUUCGCGCCUUCACAGCUUUUAUCACUGCUGGAGUCCUAACAGACCGAGGGCGACCACUUCUUGACCUGUCAUCUACACUAGAGUCUUCAUUGUAUCGUUUGAUGGUACGAUAAACGAAUCUUUUGGUUAUAUUCAAAUUUUUCAGUAUGUUUGUUUGUUUGUUUGAAUUGACGCGUAACCGCAACGAUGCAAUGCAAUAACUGCAACACGGUCAUCUUUAGACGUCCACUCCAUAUUUAAAAAUGAGUAAAAUUCUAAAAGUAUACAUUUUUAUUUUCAUGAACAAUUCUAAAUUCGAAUUCAAUAAACUUUUUUGUGGUCAGCAUUCUAAAAGAAAAGUUUUUACUGUGUGACAAUACUUAUGACCUGACUAGGUAUUUAAAGAUCAUUUUAAAGUAAUUUCUCCAUUAAAGACAGCAGCGUUGAGGAACGGUGCUGAGUUCUGUCAAUCAGGUUUGCCAGUUCAUUUUACAUGUAAAGAAAUAAAAACUGUGAUAAAGGGUAUGAAAAAAGGCAAGUCUCCUGGUAAUGAUGGGCUCAGCAUCGAGCAUCUCCAGAAUUCUGGUGUUCACCUGCCGAGAGUUUUGACUAUGUUGUUCAAUUUGUUUGUAGGGCAUUCUCACUUACCAAGGGAGAUGUGGGACACAAUAGUUGUACCUAUUGUAAAAAACAGGACAGGAGACAUAGCGGACAAGGGAAAUUAUAGACCAAUUUCACUGGCAACCAUCAUAGCCAAGGUGUUCGACAGCGUGCUUGACUCACAUCUCAGUGGAUACACUAAACUACAUGAUACAUAGUUUGGAUUUUGUGCUGGGCUAUCUACUGAGAGUGCCAUUUUUGCACUGAAGCAUGCUGUCAAAUACUACACCGAUAGGAAAACACCAGUGUAUGCCUGUUUCCUGGACCUAUCAAAAGCCUUUGACCUUUUUUCCUAUAAUAUCUUGUGGAAAGCUACUGGGAGAGGGUGUACCUCCUUCAUUAGUAAAUAUAUUGUCUCUGUGGUAUGAGAAGCAGAGGAACUAUGUACGGUAGUCCAACGUACUGUCGGACCCUUACAAACUAGAAUGUGGUGUAAGGCAGGGUGGUUUGACCUCCCCGAGGCUCUUUAAUAUCUAUGUAAAUAAGCUCAGUAGCACACAUGUUGGUUGUCAUAUAGAUGAUUUAUGUCUUAAUAACAUUAGCUAUGCAGAUGACAUGGUGCUGCUGAGCCCAUCAAUAUGUGGGUUAAGAAAGUUGCUUUCCAUAUGUGAAUCCUAUGCUGAGGAUCAUGGCCUAAAGUAUAACCCUAAUAAAAGUGAGCUGUUGGUGUUCAGAGGUGUAAACAAAAGUCCACCUCAUGUCCCGCCUCUAAUGCUCGGUGGCUUACCUGUACAAAGAGUAACACAGUUCAAAUAUCUAGGGCAUAUUGUAAGUGAGGAAUUAAAAGAUGAUAUGGACAUGGAAAGGGAACGCAGGGCACCGGGGUGGUUUUAGCCGGUAGGAGUCCGGCACGCCCCUCCGCCUUUACCCAGGCGGAGGUAGGCCAUGAGGAUUUCCCCCCGAAAAAAAAAAAAAAAAAGGACCUCUUUAGUUCGUUGGAAGGUAUUUUGGGUUUGAACGGUAUUUAUUGAGUAUUGUUCUGAGGUUUCUUUUGAAUGUAAGAAGGUUCUAAUGGAAUUAAGUUUAUGUUGAGGUUUGAAGUUAAAGUUUCCUAAAACUUCUCCUAUCUCCUAAGACUCAGAUAUAUUUACUACAGUUAAGUUUAUUCGUUUGUUUUCUUUUACUUUAAGUAGGCAAUAUGCGAUUAGGAUAUCCUUUAAUUGAGAUUGAUCUAAGACAAGACCUUGUUUAACUUCAGGGUUUGAAACGGAACAUUCGAUUAUCAUUUUUGAUCUAGCAGGUAUGGUAUAAGUUGGUUCGUUAAAACGGAGUGGUAAAUAUGUUUUAUUUAAUUUAAGUUGAUAUUUAGUAUAGUCGAUCAUGCAGCCGAAAUGAUUCAGCAUAUCUGGUCCGAUGAUGCCGUCAUAUGGCAGAUGAAUUUUGUCUAUGACGUGGAAUUUGUGAUUUAUUGAGUCACGGGAUGAACUAUUUAGUUUCAUUUUUAAUGUGAAAUGACCCAUUGUCUUUGUAGUGUUUACUUCUGGUUUGAUACAAUUUAAAGUUAUUUGUUCUUCUAUAAGUUUGGGGAAAUUUUGGAAGCAAGAGUAUUUUAACAAACAAAUUGCUGAACCUGAAUCAAUGAGUAAGGAAAGUGGGAGUUCCGAUAUGGGUGAAUCGAUUAAGACGUAAGGAACUAAUUUUUUUGUAGGAUCGACGUUUAUUUCGAAUAUUUUAUUGGUUUCUGUUUUAUAUGACUCAGUGGAUUUAGUGGAUUUAAUAGGCUCAGUGGACUCAGGGGACUCAGUGGACUCAGUGGACUCAGGAUACAUGUUUGAUUUCUUAUUAUUAGGUGACACUAUGGUCUUAGUAAGAGCAGCGUCGAAUUUGUUAAUAUUGUGUGCCUCGCACGACACCGAUACGGGCCACCUAUUCGUUUUUUGGUUUACCGUUUUCAUGUACGUUGUCAUUGUUUCCAUGUUCGAUGUAAUUGUUCUCGUAAUCGUUUGUGUUAUUUUCGUAUUCGCAUUUAUCAACAAAGUUUACGCGUUGUGGUCUGAAACCGGAAGAAGAUGGAUUUUCGAAUUCACGAACACGAUUUUUAAAUUCUCUCUUUUUGCAAUUUUCAAUAGUGUCCGGAGGAUUUACAGUAUUGGCAAAAGCUAUUGUUAAAAUUAUUAUUUCGGUUAAAAUUAUUAGGAUUAGGACGAUAGAUCUGUGGACGAUAGAGAGUUUGAUUAAAAUUAUCAAUUCUGUUAGAUUUAGAAAACCUAUUUUCCGUAUUUACAGGGCGUUUGUUGGACAUGCUUUGUUUAAUGCGCUCUUCGGAAAUUGCAAUAUUAAUAGCUUCAUUAAGAGUUUUGGGAGACCUGCAUCUCACAAUUGCAGAUAACCGCGGAUGUAAUCCGAUAGUAAAAUGAUGGAGUGCGAGGUCCUCCAUUGCCGCUGUACGGCCUGGUAGUUCCUUACUUUUGCAAUUUGAUAGCGAAAUUUCGGUGAGUAAUUGUGAGAGGCUAUAACGUGUCUGUGUCUAAGGGUGUCCCUGGUAUGCUGAUGUUACAUGAGGCCCAGUCGCGUCACUCCCCAAAAGGUGAUCUAUGGGUCGAGAGACGGGGCCGAGUCGCACCACUUCUAGACACUUCACCACCGGUAGACAACCGGUGAACAGGAGACUGUGAGAAGGAUCUCAGGGCGCCACCACUUACCGCUCUGGAAGACCAAUAAAUAAAAAUAAUUACAAUAUAACACUUGUGUUUAGUCAAUACAAAUAACACAGUUACAAUGGUUAUAAUAAUUUACAAAGAUUAAAUUAGCGGUUAGGUACAAUGUUACAUGUGUGUCGUAUACCGAACACACGAGAAAGUUAUCAACGAAAUUAGUUUAAAUUAAAUUACUAGAAACUAUGACGGCUUCACCAAUUUAACAAAAAGACGAUGAAACUUCCCAGCAACUGGGGUUGCUGGAUCCGAGCAAGGCACUUUGAAGAUACAAAAAUUCUACUUAGAAAGAGUGUAGCUCAUUGUAACGACACAGAGUGACUGACAUCGAGCCAACGGGGCUCUAGUAAGUAUAUGUUAGACCGGAAAGUGUUGAUAGACGCACUUUUCGGUCUUAGGUAAAUUAAUUAAUAUACUAGGUGAUAUUAUAACAUUAUAGUAGACCUCACAAAAUACUGGAAAAGAACGAUAGAGUAUUCUCAUACUGUUGAUAAAAGGGAAACCAGUUUCUGUAAAAAUGGAAUGAAUAAAACCUGCCUAAUACUCACGGAUACCGCAGAUCCUGGAAGAUUUUAGAUGGAUUUUGGAUUUUAGAUUUAAUUUGCCACGUGCUCGCAGAGCUCAUCAAAAACGGAAUUGGAUUAAUUUUAAAGCAUACUACGAUAUGGUAAAAAGGACACAACUAACAAGCACUCAGCCCCCCCUAAGCCCGAUUUGUGCAUCUUUAAACGAUGACAGGAUAUCGCCUUACUGCCUCGCUAUGAAAGUCCUAUUCCAUGUUCAUUCCAUACACAAUUACACAGUUUGCAGACACCUCAGAAAUCUUCUAGUUUUACGUUCCCGGACAAAAGAACCUAGUUUGACUGAUUGUAUUUCCGACACAAAUUCCGCUGAGACCAGUUCCAAUCCUCCAAGAGUUCCUUAUACUAAUCGUUCAAAUACCCCAAUUUAUCGAGCAUCUUCGCCCCUAAUCACUCCCAGUAUUGACAGUAUUCAAUCGCCAGUUUCAAGGUAUGCGCGAAAUAGUCCAGUAUCAGAUAUUUCUACAAAUUCUCCUGUGUUAAGAAGAGAAUUUAAUGAUAAAUUAAGAAAAUACCAAAAACGAAAAUCCGCCGAAAUUAUAUCUUUAACAAAAACUAUAACAAAAAUUAAAAAAGAGAAGGAAAUGUAUCGCAAAAGAUUAUUUAGAUUAGAACAAAUUAUAAAGACCAGCCCGAAUAUUAAAUUGCCUACGAUCAAGAUUAGAAAUAAUAUUAGUCCAGAAAAACAAAAAAUACGCAAUAUAGUAAAAGCAUUUACGUUGUAGAUGUUUAUGGGUUCCAGUAACCACUUAACACCAGGUGGGCUGUGAGCUCAUCCAACCUUCUAAGCAAUAAAAAAAUUAAAAAAGUGUAUGGUGUGGCACUAUUGCGAAUGUGGACAUGGAAAAGGUGCACCUCAUGGCGUUGGUGGAGUGCUCAAGAGAUCAACAGAUCAUCAAGUCGCAUUUGGGAACAAUAUAACUGAUAUUGACAGUCUUGUACAAAGAUUCAAUACAGCAAGCAGUACGAGGAGUUACAAUUAAAAUUGUUCAAGAGCAUGAAAUCACUGAAAAAGAUAGACUUCUACCAAAGAAUCUUAAAGGUUUUCCUACACUCGGCGUCAAAAAAUCGCAUCUUUUAAAAAGGCAACUUUAAAAUACUUUUACUCAAACUUUGUCAAUAGUAAGGGUAUGGUUGUAAUAUAGCAUUGGAAUGGUAAUUUAAUUGCCUAUUAGAAAUUAAAAACUUGUGUAUGUCUUUUUAAGCCUUUUUAUAAAAAAAAACUUAAAGAGGGACAAAGCUACAAAAAAUAAAAUUAAAAACGUUAAAAAAUUACAAAUAAGUCCUUAAAAUCUAGUUUUUCCUCCCCUUGCCUUAAUGACAGCUUCCUUCCGAUCCUUCAUGGACGUAACGAGGGUCACCACUCUCUCUUGGGGUAUGUUCUCCCAUUCUUUCGUCACGGCAUUCUGGAGCUCUUGGAGAAUGGCGGGAGCAGGAUCUCGUGCUCGUACGUGUUUCUUUACAUCGUUCCAGAAAUGCUCGAUCGAGUUCAGGUCUGGGCUUCGUGCUGGCCACUGCCUAACAGGAACCUUAGCCUCCAAUUAGUCCCACACAGCAAACGCAGCGUGGCAACGGGCGUUAUCAUGCAUUAAUAUGAACCUAUCACCAACAAAACUGGCAUACGGGAUCACAUGGUCUUGUAAGAUCUCCGUUAUGUACCGCCCAGCACCCAGCAUUCAGCGACCCUUGCCCGACCAUCGCCAGUCCGAAGACGCAUACAAGCUCCGUUUUCCCUUCAACGGAUAUGCCACCCCAGAACAUACAGGAACUAACUACGUAUUCGACGGAUUCCUUUGUACAAUCAUGGGUAAAACGCUCUCCUCUUCUUCGGUAUACUCUUCUGCGUAUACUCUUCUGUCAUUGCAGAAUAGAUAUACUCGUUCUGCGAGCUGAUCGGAGCUCUUGUUGCACCUCAACAGCAUUGCUGAAGCGGUGACGCAACGGCGUGGACACAAUGAAGCCGUCGUCUCUUUCUGAUGUGCAGCGUUUUCUUCCGGAUUCACGUCUUCGGGUAUACCCACCAGUCUCACGGAACCGUUGGUAUACUUGUCGAACUGAGAAUCGGCUAAGGUUCAACUGUCGAGUAACGUCAACCUGUCGCAGUCCUGUUUGCAAUAGCGCUAUGAUUUGAGCGGCUUCUUCAGGGGUUGUAUCCAUCUUCAGGUAUUGUUCUUUGGAGUAUGUUGUUCCGGUGUGUUCACUCUAAAGUCUGAAUAGUAACUAACCCAUUUUUUACCUGGGCAUGACCUUUUGUACCCAUUUAAGGUAAGAAGUAGCUAAACGCAUUUUUGCUCCACUAGUUAAUCGACUCUUUAAAACAAAAUUUAUUAAAAUCGCCUUAUUACCAUCAGCAAGCAUUGACAAAUCAAUCGCAGAAAUUAAGUCACUAGUUACCUCUUCAUCACCGGUCAUUUUAGGCAAUAGGCUUACAGCCGUCUUUAAAUUAAACUUUUUACCUGACACUGAUAUUGUGGCAGAUUUAUCAUUUCAAAUUUCAAAAUUUUAUCAUAGCAUUUGUUUAAAUAUGAGCAUAAAAAUUCUUUAGACGGAUCUUUAGGUAAAAUACUCAAAAUAUUUUUGAACGACACAUACAAGUUCUUAGCUUCUGAAAUAUUAUUCUCUAAAUUACUACCUAUUCUUGUUGAAGGACCUAACUUAGAAAUAGAAUCCGUGCAAUGUUUUCAUUGCUUAUAAAUAUCUGAUAAUUUUAAUUCUAUACUCAUAAUCUAAUUCAAUAAGUAGGUAUUACCGAUUACGACUUACUUGUUGGUCACUCUUACAACUUGGUUUCUGGGUCCUCAUGCUCUCUGAUUUCCCUGCGACGUCGGUAGCUUACACGCGCGAGAACUCGUUGCAAAGCGUCACUACUCAGCUGUUUCUGAAUCCAGUUGGUGUGGCAUCGCUUGUACAGGCAGAAGAAUCCGAUCAACACCGCCAGCAGCAUACAUACGCAUAUUAUGGACAAAAAAAUAUUGUUCGUCUGAAGGAGUUCCGCCGUCGCUUGUGCGUGGUUGCUCCCGGCUGCAGACUGCGCAAUGACCACUUCUUCUUUGCUUUGCGUUGUACGUUCUUGGUUGGUGUUCUACGUCGAUAUCCCAAAAAUCGCGAGAAUCCUGAUGCCAAUGCAAUAUCCAAAAUCAAUCAAUAUCCCGAAGUCUUGAAGAUUGAGAAAUAUUGUAGUAGGUGCAUGUAGCUAUAGAGUAGACAGCUACCUAGCAUGGUCGCCAUGUGGUGUGGUCUGGUCACGAUAGAUUAGAAGAGUUGAAAUAAUACGUCCAUUUAGUUUGAAGGACCGGUUUAUUGUGUAAAAAGGUAUAAUUCGUUACAAGACAGUAGUGCUGAAGAAGCACUUUACAUAAGGCUGUUUCCAUACUUGAAAGGUUACACACUACUCCAGAUGCUAGAUACCGUAAUGUUACAGCUAGUCUUGUUUGAGGUAAAAUUGGCUGUCGAAAAUUUGUUGCUCUUUUAGCUAUUGACGUAUCAAUUAACUCUAAAAGAUGUUCGAAAUCACUUUUUGACGUCCUCAUAAAGUUAAUAAAGGAUCUAUUUGCCAACGUAAGACCACUUAUCUUUUUGCAUUUCGCACCCACCACUUCUUUUUUCUUCUUUUUUUAUAGAAAAAAAACAUUAUAAGGUACGCAGAUCACAACAACACUACUUCCUCGGGCAACAUUUUAAUGUAGACUUGCGUUUGGAUGGAAAGUAUGGCUGUAAACGUUGUUGCUAGCAACUCUGAUGUUGAGAAACUUUGGUAUUUAGAAACAGUUGUUUACAAUGAAUACGGUGAUUUAUUCCAACAUGUUUACCAUCGACGGCACCGAUAAUAUUAAGAAAGUUAGUACGCUCGUGAAACUGAUCAGCAAUUUUAUACCCACCUUCUUCAUUUUUUUCUGCCAUGUACAGAGGUUGCAAUGCUUCCCAUAUCGAUUGGCUGUUGUUGAAUUUACAAUAUUCCAAAGCGUUGUGGCUCCAAUUUGAUAUUCAAAAGAUCAUGUUAUGAAACUUGCACCAGUUGCUAAAUACCUGUAAAUAAAAGAAUGCAAAUUUUUAGUGAUACAACGUUGUUGGAAAAAUUUAAGAGCAUGUUUUUCGAGGGAGCUUCGUUGUCAAAAAGACGUAAAAUUAGGGCAAGCUGCACCUAAACGAAAACAAUACGUGUUCUUCAAUAAGUUACUAUUUUUGGUGCCUCUUAUGUAGCCAAGGGAGCGAAACCUCAAGUAACGUGACAUCGCUUGACGAAGAAGCAUUAGUGAGAGCGAUUCUUCUACAGCAAUAACACGACCAAGACAAGAAAAGAAGAAGAAUAAAAGUUACGAAGAAUCUUUAAUUAGACACUACCAGACCCAGACAAUUAUUUCGUGUUAUCUUUGGUUCCAUUAUUAAAGUCAAUUACACCAGAUCAGAAAAUCGAUUACGAUGUUGUACAGCCUAAAAUAUUAUACCCAAUCUUCUAGUAACUAUAAUAAUUAUAAUUCUGCAUUCUUCCUCAACCACAACAACCUUAUAUAUUAUCCCAAAAAAUAAUAUCCCCAGCCCAACCAGCACCAGCUCGUAUAGUUCCUCAGCCAAUAAUGUCUACACCCAACCACAGUUUCAACCACCACCACCGCCGCCACCCCGUGUACUUUCACAGCAAUGUUUCAAUCCUUCUGCGCUCUCUACAUCUACUUCAAUAUAUUUAUGAUAAUAUAUCUCCCCCGCGGUCGAACGAAACUGUGCAAUCAUAUGUGUCAACUCUGUUUGUGUUACUCUGUAGAUGAUUCUGAUAUUGCAAAUGUUUAUGCCUCUGAAUCGAAAGAUUUUUUCGUCACAUACACGGCAAACUUACGAAUCUGCCUUUUUUGGUAAAAUCGGUAUUUAAAAAUAAUGGAAAACCGCGUAUCAUGUACACAAUUAGACGAAUUGCUGGAUUAUUUAGUUGCGCAUCCACAUCUCGUUAAGGGCAUCAGUUUAGGAGCCAGAUCCAAAGAAGCCAUUGCUCAGGAAUGGGAUAAUUUGGCUUCGAAAUUAAAUGUCCACGGAUUGGGUGCUACAAAAACUAGCCAACAAUGGAAGCGGUACCGGGCUGACCUUAAGCACAAGGUCAAAGCCAAAGCUGCAGAACGGAAAAGGAAUGCUUAUGGUACUGGUGGUGGACCUGCGAGCCAGGACGAUAUAAACAAAAUUGAAAAAAAAAAAUUUUGCUAUAAUAAGUGACGCAUAGCACAGGGUACCUGCAAUAACUGUGAGUAAUAAUUGUAAUUAUGUAAUGCUAAACACCAAUAACGUUUUUAUUGUAAUUAAUGCUUAAUCAUAAUAGUUAUUUACGUCAUGUAAUUAUAAUUAUUAACGUGAAAGUUUAACUUUAAAAACAAAGGUUUAUGUCACUUUAUUUUAGACCACUAUUGUUCCUAAGGAACCCCUAUCGUCGGGAUUGGCUGUCACUUCCGAAGAUCAGGGUAUAACCCAGGAAAUAGUAGUUUGGUGUGUGGCGCAUUUACGUUGUAGAUGUUUAUGGGCUCCAGUAACCACCUAACACCAGGUGGGCUGUCAGCUCGUCCACAUAUCAAAGCAAUAAAAAAAAAAGGUAAAAUUAAUCCCAUUUGAUGAACUAAUUAUUUUUGUAACAUUAACAAUAAAUAAAUUUCAGAUUCACCACCUCCCGCCUCAACGCCAGAUCUAUCCCAUUUACUCAAUUCUCCAUCCUAGAGAAGACAAACACGUGUUUGUUAGUUAUUUUUAAACUUUUAUAAUUAUUACGCCAGUUUAAUAUUAUUGCCAUUGCAUUUUGUAUCUGGAUUUGGAUCAUUAACCGUCCUACCGUCAAAGAUUACGUAAAGAAUAUUCGCAGGUUUGAUUUUAAAUAAAAGACCAUGUUUUAUAUAUAUAUCACUUUUAAUACGCAGGGCGUCUUAUCCACGCGGCAUAGGCCACGACACAACUUCAAAUGAAAUGAAUUAGUUGUAUAGUUUUUCCAGUAAUAGUUUGUAAAACAGAUGCUGCUCACGCUGAGAUGAUCCCGUCAACGCUAUAACAGCCAAUCAACGAUAUUAUAGUUAACCCAGUUUCUCGUCGACCAAGAAGUCACCUUAGAAAAAGCUUCAUUGCGAAUACCAACCAGGCUGAAAUUUAGACAACAAACAAGAGUAGACUUGUCCUGGGUUAUAGAGCUGGAAAAAAGCCCGUGGAAGCUGAAGGGAAACUGGCUGAUGCAGCUUUAAUUUUAGCAGAGGCUGCCCGUACGCAAAUCAACGCUGCACAACUUCGAGCUGAAGUAAAUGUAUCUCAGCAUAAAAUGUUCGAAAAAUUAAUCAACAGCAUUGAAAAUCUUGGUAAAAAUAAAUAAAUUAAUAUUGUUUUAUUAUUGUAUAUUUUUAGCAAAUUCCAAAAUGGUAUGUCACCCUAAGUACGAAAUAGGAAUUGUUAUUUAAAAAUAAUGAAGAAAUUCUAAAUUUUUAUAAUUAUGUUUUACUUUAGGCAGGUACCAUAGUAAAUUUUAUGAAACUCAGAUUUCCGUAGAUUAUAUAAUCUACGGAAACAAAACAACUCUCGACUUCGUCAGUAGUCGAGUAUAUUAUUUUUCUAUAUUAUCUAUUUCUAUAUUAUAUUUCUUAUGGUGUACACACGUUUGUAAAAUUAGUGCGGAAAAAUGAAUUCUCGAAAACAGCAAAAAAACAGAGUUAAUAAUUUGUUAAGAAAAUGUACCUUUGUGUGAUGCAAGAACCAACUGUUAUAUAUUGCAAUUAUUGGUAAUAUAUCAUAUUAUCUAUUUUUACGCAUUUUGUAUUUUUGCCGCGUAGCAACACUAUUUUUGACAGUAGUAGGUCAAGAUGGCGACCAGACCGAGCUAUCUUCGUGUCGUUCAGAUAAAUAAUUUCUUUUAAAUAGUUUAAUAUACAUAAAAUGUGAAAAAUACUACGUAAAUCAGUUGACGUAUAUGUAAAUUGUGUUUUAAUUUAUUUUUCAAGUGUUCAAAUCAUAAAGGAAGGUUAUGACAGACUUCAGACAAAAGUGCUGAGUCCACUCCAAAGCUUCGAUUAUUGUGUUGAGUAUCCUCAACAUAGUUGCUUGGUGUGGAUUUUACUUUUUCUUUUUUCUUGAGUUUGGAUAUUUUUUUUAUGUUUGCUUCUCUUACUUUUAAGCAUUAUAUAACUACGUCAUUAUUUAUUUAUUUCUUUUAGAGUGAUAAUUUUCACCUAUGUCGAACCUUCCAUCUGUAACGACAUCAUUUAUUCUUGAUCAAGUUUCGAAUUCCGCUGUACCAUCUCCUCGUUUUUUCCUUUGAACCAUCUAGUGCUUUUCAAUCUCCUCAAAUAAGUACUCCUAAUUUGAUUCGUAAAUCUAGAAUAAUCUAGAUCAAUGAAGAGAAUUCAACGAACAAAACCACAUAAUCAGCCGCGACACUCAGUAAGAAAAAAGCAACUAAAUUUGAACUUCAAGUGGACUACUGGACGUUUUCAGCAUCGCGCUGAUAUAGAAAAUGACAAGUUUUUUGUUGUAAAUAUAUCAAAAUACAGAUGCCACUAGUGACAUCUCCUGAUACUUAUUUAUAAUAACUAAUCUGUUUCAUUAUCUGAUUUAUUAAAGCUGUGUCAUUCGCUUCCCGUCACAGUUUGAAUCACGUUGUUUUAUUUUAGGUUAUGGGCCCAGACUCAUAAAGAAUCAUAAUCAGUGAAUUGAUUGUUAGAAUUACCAGUGUGAUGAACAAUAUUUUUGCUAAUAGUGUUCUAAAAUAUCAAAAUCGUGCGUGAGUGGCAGUCAUGGCAUCUAGCUCCAAUUAUUUAAUUAGCGUGCCUAAGCUAAGAGGACGCGAGAACUUUAGUGAGUGGUGUUUUGCGGCAGAGAACUUUCUAGUAUUAGGAGGAAUGGUAGGGUGCAUUAAACCAGAACCCGGUGAGCCCCCAGCAGCUGCAGAUGACGCUAAAACAAAAGCAAAACUGAUCCUUACCAUCGACCCGACUCUUUACAUUCACAUAAAAAGUGUCAAUAAAUACAUCGAAAGAAUUGUGGGAUAAAUUAAAGAUGCUGUUUGAUGACUAUGGAUACACGAGGAAAAUCAACCUAUUGAGGAAUCUGAUAUCUAUCUAUUAGAUUAGAAAAUUGCACAUCGAUGCCGUCGUAUGUAACGCAAAUUGUUGAAGCGGGUCAGAAGCUACAAGGUACGGGUUUUACAUAAAUGACGAAUGGAUCGGUUCUAUCAUGUUGGAUGGAUUAUCUGAAAAGUAUAUGCCUAUGAUAAUGGCGAUCGAACAUUCGGGCAUCAUUAUUACAACGGACGCCAUUAAAGGGAAGUUGAUGGACAUGGAACCGGAAGAUAGUGAUGUGAAUAAUGCGUUUGCAAGUUUCAAGAAUAAAUCGGUUCAUUAUUCAAAAAAGGUGAAGUCUAUGCGAUCUAUGGUCGGUAAAGAUGGUGGAAAUCAAAGUACUCAAAUGUCGUCAUCUGUUAAGGAUAAACCAAAUGUCAAAUGUUAUGGUUGUAAACAAUAUGGCCACAUUCGCAAUCAGUGUACAAAUACAAAUAUACAAAAAUCUUGGAAGAUUUCGCAAGAUUCAGAAAGUAAAACUAAAACAAUUAAUGCAUUCAGUGCUGUGUUCUUUAAUGGAACAUUUGAUAAGGGUGAUUGGUAUAUAGAUUCAGGUGCAAGUUCACAUUUAACGUGUAACAUGGGUUGGCUAAAGGAUGUUUGUUAUUCUGGUUAUACCAAACAGAUAAUGAUUGCCAAUCAAAGUACAGUUUCCGUAGAAUGUUGUGGAGCCGUAAACGUAACUACGUCAACCGCUGAAAACGAUUACAACAUAACAGUAGAAAAAGUUUUGUGUGUAGUUGGCCACAAAUUUAUUAUCAGUGAGCCGACUAGUAAAACAGGGCAAUAAGGUGCGUUUCACAGGCAAAGGGUGCGAAAUAUUUAAUAAAAAAAACACUUUGGUUGCUACUGCAUCACUUAUAAAUGGUGUUUAUAAAUUGAAUACUUAAUAAUAAACUUAACCGGCUUCUCAAUAACUGCAUUCGAUUUAUUUAUAAUCUUCGGAAAUACGAUCACGUAUCUUCUUAUCGCUCCCAACUCAAAUGGCUCCCCAUUCGUCAACGCCGUAGCUUGCGUGCUCUCAGUACUCUUUACUCUUUGUUGCACUCCCCAAAUCCACCUGCUUAUUUUACUACUUCCUUUCAAUACUUAGGGUCUGACCACAGCCGAAACUUCGUUCAUCUCACUACCUUCUUCUUCGCUGUCCUCCACAUAGUUCUGACUUUUUACAUUCUUCAUUCACUAUUCGGUCUAUUCUUCUAUGGAAUGCGCUCCCACUCAAAAUAGGGUCGGCCACUACACGUGAAGCGUUUAAGACGAAGGUUCGAGAACUGUUUCUCAGAGAGUUAGGAGAGUCAUCUAAUUGAUAAUAUUUGUUUAUAUAUGUUUUUAUAUGUAUAUGUUUAUGAUAUAUAUAUAUAUAUUUAUAUAUAUGUCUAUAUAUUUAUGUUUAUGUAUUUAUUUAAGUACGAGUAUUUGUAUCUAUAAAUAUUAUGUAUGUUAUAUAUACACAUAUGUUUAAGUAAUAUCACCUUCACACUACACCUACCAAGCUUCAUCUCUGCACUCCCCUAAGGUAGGCUGUUAGAGAAUGCCUAUGGCAUUAAGUCCGCCUUUAUACUUUCCAGUAUAAGAAGUUAUAAAUAAAAAAAUCUUCUACUAGUUUGGUGGCAGCAGCAAUUUAGUCUGCAACAGUCUGGUAUCGUCGAUUGGGAGAUGUGAAUAGCUUCAAUAUGAAUAAAAUGCCUAGUGAUGUGGAAGGAGGUCAGAGAUACAGAGACGGCAAACAUUAGCAAGUCAAAUUGCAUUGUAUGCUGCGAAGGAAACCAGAGCCGGUUACCUUUUGCUCAUAAAGGAAAUAGAAGUAAUAAGCUGUUGGGUGUAAUACAUACUGAUAUUUAAUUUUGUGGUCCAAUGGAAAAUAUAUCACUUGGUGGAUUAAGGUAUUUCAUUAUUUUUGUUGAUGAUUAUAGUCGUAUGACACAAGUUUAUUUUUUAAAAAGUAAAGAUGAGGCUUUGCAGAGUUUCAUAGGUUAUAAAGCUAAAGUUGAGAAUUUAUUGUCAAAGAUAAUUAAAACUCUAAGAAACGAUGAAAGUUAUUUAAAGAAUUCAGGUAUUAAUCAUCAAAAAGCUAAUUCAUAUACACCAGAACAAAAUGGACUCUGUGAGAGGAUGAACCGAACAAUUGUACAAAAUAGAAUUGUGAAAACUGGAUUAAACAACCGCACACCAUAUGAGGUAUGGACAGGUACUAAGCCAAACCUGAGUCACUUAAGAAUAUUGGGAAGCGCUGUUAUGAAACACAUUCCUAAAGAAAAAAGACAGAAAUGGGACAAAAAGUCUGAAUAAUGCAUACUUAUAGGCUAUCCUGAGGAUGUUAAGGGAUACCGUAUAUACAAUCCUGCAACACAGAGCAUCACAACAAGUCGAGAUGUUAUAUUUAUAGAAGAAAAUAACUUUGAUGAACAGAAGGUAAUUGAAAUAAAAGUAAAUGAUUUAAGUAAUAAAUCAUUGUCAUCUUCAGUGGGAGAUUUGCCGGACACCAGUAGAGAGGAUUCAUUAACAUCAGCUGAAAAUUGCUACUGACUUGGAUGAAACCUAUGUACCAUCUUCUGAGAAUGAGGAGUCCUUGAAAUUAGAAAAAAUGUAUUUUUCUGAGAACAUUACCGAAAAGGCACAGAAAGCAACCUGACAGAUAUGGAUAUAUGUGUACAGAAGAAUGUAACAAUCCGGUCAAAGAUGAAUUGACAUUAGAAGAGGCACUGGAAGUACCAGAAAAAGAGCACUGGGAACAGGCUAUCAAAGAAGAGCUGAAAAGUUUUGAAGACAACAAGGCAUGGAAUAUUGUUGACGUUCCUGUAAGUAGCAACAUUGUAAAGUGCAAGUGGGUUCUUAACCCUUAAAUGGACGAUUUUUGUUUCACGUUUUAAAAAAAUAUAUUUGUGUAAUAGACAUGUAUUACUGUCUAGGAAAAAUGAGUAAAAAAAUCUAGACAUGAAUUUACUAUACUUUUUUUUGCAAUAAUGUGAGUGUUGUUUGUAAACUACAUUGCGCAUUCAUUGAGAUUUUGCAAGUAUGGGUAAAAUAAGAGUGGAUAUUCAGUCUCAUUCGAGUAGUCACAGUGGAUGCGCGUGCCGCACGUCGUUCAGUCGGAGUCGUGUUUUGUCUACUUACGAGUUAGUGAAGUACCCUGCAUUAAUUGUGAUUAUAGUGUAUUUAAAUAGGGCUACUCCUAGAAACAGGAGUCCCUACAAAAAUAAUGUAUAGUCACCCAACGUCCCAAAAACCAACAACGUCACAACCCACAAUGAUGCCAUCAACACCCAAACCAUCAAGUUAUGCCAACGUAACGUCUUCAACAUGUUUUCCAAAAAAAGAUCAAGCCAUAAUAUUGGAUUCUAUUGACGGAAUAACCCUUAAAGAGUAUCUUGUUGCCUUAUCAGCUAUAACACCAGCCGCAAACAUUCGUUUUAUAUCACGCAUAUCGAAUGCUAGAAUAUGCAUUUAUUUAGACUCUAAGAAAACGGCCGAUAACUUAAUCGAUAAAAAAGUAAAAGUUAACAUAAAAUCCAACGCACUCGAAAUAAAACCGUUAAUUACAAGAAAUAAAAGAAUCGUCCUAUCUAACGUCUGUCCAGUCAUCCCUAAUCAUAUUAUAGAACAAAAAUUUGAAGAACUACGCAUAAAGAUUAUGUCACCUAUAACCUUCAUGAAAAUUGGUGUGAGUGACCCAGGCUUCUCACACAUUUUGAGUUUUAGGCGACAACUUUUUAUUAGUCCCGAGGACGAAAUUCACCUACCAGAAUCUUUUCAAGUAACAUUCGAAGGAACCAACUAUUGGAUUUAUACUUCUACCGAAGCUUUGAAAUGUUUUUCUUGUAAUUCAUUAGGUCAUUUAGCCAAGAAUUGCACACAAAAUGAACAAAACUUAGAAAAAGAAACUGACAAUGAAAUAACUGAAUCUUUCAAUGAGUUACAAGGUUUCUCCUUACCGACCCCAUUAAAAGGAAAAAAACGAAUUCACUCUCCUACCUUAACCGAAUCUUCAAAAACUGGAAUCAAUGAAGAACUACAAAAUGAUGAAUCAGAUAAGAUGGAAUUUGAGACUGAUGAAACAGGAAGCAAUAUCUCAAUAGAAGAUAAUGUUGAUAUAAACAAGACAACACAAAAAAAAAUUAAAGAAAACUGACACCCGGACUAAUGAGGAAAUUUGGGACAAUAUUCGUAAAAAUAUGACAGAUUUAAAAGAAUAUUCCUUCCCUAUCAAUUUAGACCAAUUUAUCAGUUUAUUGGAAAACUCAAGUGGAAAACAAAAUGUUAGAGAAUUAGUAUUUUCAUAUACAGAUAAUGUUAAAGAUCUCAUAAAAAUGUGCAACAAAUUACAUAGUAAAAUGAACAAAAGUUUAAAAAAUAGAUGUUCGCGCCUGUCUAAGAAACUACAUGAAUUGCUAAACCCUAACCCUAUCUUGAUGUCAGACAGAGAUGAAUAAGAAACUUUAUUUUCACACAAAUAAGAAAUAAUUUAUACACACAACAACAAUAUAUAUUUAUACACACUUUAACAAACUAUAUACUAAAAUAAAUAAUAUAAAUUUCUAUAUCUGAUUAGAAUGGAUAUUUUGCAGUGGAAUAUCAAUGGCUAUUUUAAGAGACUUGAAAAUAUUAAAUUAUUGGUAAAUCAUACAUGGCCAACAUGUAUCUGUUUUCAAGAAACUAAUUUUAGCUCCAACUAUUACGCUUUUAUGUCAGGAUAUGAAAAGUUUUAUAGAAAUCGAACACAGAGUGGUAGGGCUAGUGGUGGAGUAGUUAUUUAUAUUAAACCUCAUACAAUUCCUGAGGAAAUAAAAUUAAACACAAACCUUGAAGCAAUAGCAAUAAAAAUUAAAUUUCCAUUUUCAAUUACAAUGUGUAACAUAUAUAUACCGAAUAGUCAUCGAUUAGAUAAACAAGAAUUUAAUAAGCUCAUUGAGCAACUACCAAAACCCUAUAUAAUUUUAGGUGAUUUUAACAGCCAUCAUUUUUAUUGGGGCUCGAACAAAUGUGAUAGUAGAGGUAAAAUAAUAGCAGAAUGGCUCGAUGAAAAUGAUAAUGUUGCUUUAUUAAAUAAUGGACAACCCACCCAUUUUGAUAGUAAUACUGGUCGCACUAGUAAUAUAGACCUCUCAAUGGCUUCACAAAAUAUAAUUUCAUAUUUUGAAUGGAAUGCCUUAGAUGAUUUAUAUGAUAGUGACCAUUUUCCGAUUUUAAUUAAAUCUCAAAUCUCUAAUGAUAAUGUCCCAGAAAAUAUUAAAGUACCACAAAAAUGGAAGACUGAUAAAGCCAAUUGGAUUAAUAAAUAUAUUACAGAAUUACCUGCUUUAAAUAUAGAUACGCCUAAAUAUUCUGUCAAUGAAUACCUUGAAAAAUUUACUGAAGUUAUUCUUAAAGCAGCACAAAAAUCUAUACCUAAAACGUUCGGGAUAUUAAGAAAAAAUAACUUACCUUGGUGGACAGAUGAAUGUAAAACUGCAACUAAAGAAACUAAAAAAGCAUUUAAACUGUUUAAGCGAUAUGCCAGAAAUGAACCUAAUUCAAAUUACAAAAUUGAUUAUAAAAAAAAACGAGCUUAUUGCAGAAGACUAGUUAAAGAAAAUAGAAAAAAAUAUUGGAAAAAUUGGGUCUCAUCUAUAAAUAAUAAUACUCUUGUGGGUGAUAUAUGGAAAAAGAUACAAAAACUUAGUUAUCGAAACACUAAAUUUAAUAAUAUAGUUCUAGAAAAAAAUAAUGGAUCAUUUACAUCUAAUCCUAUGGAAAUUUCUAACUUAUUGGCGAAAACAUUUGCAACAAAUUCUAGCUCUGAAAAUUAUGAUCCAAAAUUUCUUGAUAAAAAGAACUAUCAAGAGACAUAUUCAAACUUUAAUAUUACUGAAAACUCUAACCCAAUUAAUGAUGACAUAACGUUACAUGAAUUGAUACAAGUAAUUACUCAAGCCAAAAACUCCAGCCCUGGACCAGAUAAUAUACCAAACAUUAUAAUUAAGCAUUUACCUGCGAGGGCAUUAGAAUAUUUACUUCAACUUUAUAAUUUUGUAUAUAAAAAACAAGUAUUCCCAGACAGUUGGAGAGAAGCUUUGGUUAUUCCAAUUUUAAAACCAGGCAAAAUACCAAGUUUGCAAUCCAGCUAUAGACCCAUAUCUUUGACAUGCAAUAUGUGUAAAAUACUGGAAAAAAUAAUCAGCAAAAGAAUCAGGUGGUAUGUGGAAACCAAUAAAUAUCUUUCAGCGUUUCAGUAUGGUUUUCGGCAAUACAGAUCAACAACUGACUGUUUGAUCAAUAUUGAAAGUGAAAUACUCGAUAGUUUUGCAAAUAGUAAUUAUUCAGUGGUAGUAGCCUUAGAUAUCGAAAAGGCAUAUGAAAUGGUGUGGAAGCACAGAGUUCUGAAGUUAUUACAGAAUAUUAACAUUGUUGGCAAUACCUUAGCUUUUGUCAGGAACUUUCUUUCAAGUAGAACAAUGAAAGUCAGAAUUAACGACUACAUGUCUGAUCCUGUCCCUAUAGAAAAUGGGCUACCCCAAGGUUCAGUAUUAAGUGUUAUUUUAUUUUUAGUGGCCAUAAAUGACGUUCUUAAUAAUAUUGAAAAACCAGUGAAGGGUUUCCUAUUUGCCGAUGACCUUACAAUAAUUUGUAGUGGCGGAACAUUAUGCCCUACCUUGAAGCUUAUUCAAAAUACACUUAAUAAUUUACAGGAAUGGUCAGAAAGAGUUGGAUUUAAAUGUUCUAAAACAAAAACGGAGGUUAUGAUAUUUACAAAUAAAAGAAAAAUAUUUAGAAACACACAAUUAACCUUAAAUAAUCAUAGUAUUUAAAAAUUUUAGGUUUGAUAUUUGAUAAAAAACUGUCAUGGAAUACACACAUAAAUAACCUUAAAUCAGAAUGUUAUAAAAGACUAAAUAUAAUAAAGGCCUUAUCAACCACUGGAUGGGGGUCAGAAAAAAGUUGCUUAAUUAAUAUAUAACGUACUCUGAUCAGGCAGAAAAUAGAUUAUGGCUGCAUUAUUUAUGAUUCCGCCAAAAAACGAACACUAAAUUCCUUAGAAAGUAUCCAAAAUACUGCUCUUCGUCUAAGUAUUGGUGGUUUUAGAACAAGCCCCAUUAAAUGUAUCCUAGUUGAAGCUGGUGAAAUGCCAUUAGAAUUUAGAAGGAAACAACUUAUACUUACAUAUGAGUCGACUAUUAUCAAAGCCGGCAAUGUGACUUUUGGACAAUUAUUGGUAAAUCAGAAAAACGAAUUAUUGACUUUGUAUUCCAUUGGCAGUCACAAAACUCUUCUGAUCGACAUCUUAGAUAAAUAACAGGUUAAGUAUUAACCGUAUUCUUUGAAGUUGACGAUUAUAUUCAAAUCAAUCUGUAUUGACAUAUCAAUAACAUUUUUUUGUCCAAAUGCACAGAUUGCCACCUUUGAUAAUAGACGACUCAUAUGUAACAAAUAUAUUAACUCAACCUGAAAAUCCCACCUACCAUUAUUACACUAGAGUAACAGCAGUUGACACUGAAUAUGAACUCCAACCUAAUUUAUCUCAACCCUUACGAAUCAGAGCAGUCAAAUACUUAGAUGAAUUAAAUCUUAAAAUUCCAAAAUUAUUUACAAAAAACUGCUUACUUCUGGUCCAUGGGAAAACUUAGAAUUGCCAGUUAACCUUGAAUUAGCCAACUAUAAAAAAGGUGAUACCCCUCAGUGUAUAUAUAAAAACUUAUUUUGUGAAAUUAAUGAUAGAUAUAGAGGUUACAAAAUUUAUUACACAGAUGGUUCUGUAAAAGAUGGACAUUCAGGUUGUUCAGUAGUAUACUAGAAAAGUUUUCUUCAAAGUGACAUUUGACAUUAACUUAUUUUCAAUGCAUAAAAAUAUUGGAUAGUGCCAACAUUAAAAAAAGUACAAAAUUCAUUCAGAAAUAAGAACUAGUUGUCAAAAUUAACAAAAAAUUAAAAGAAGGUCAAUUUUAUCUGUGAUGUUUAGUAAAUUAUUUAAAAAGAUUACCAUUUAAAAAGAAAUACGAUUCUGAAAAUAAUGUGCGAUAUCGAGCGAGACUUGUGGCUAAAGGUUGUUCACAAAGAUAUGGUGAGGACUACAGUGAAACUUUCUCUCCUGUGGUGCGGCAUAUAGCACUUAGAUUAUUAUUUGCAUUAUCAGUGCAGAUGAAUCUGAAAGUGAUUCAUCUUGAUAUGAAAACUGCCUUCUUGAAUGGAGAUCUGUCUGAGACUAUAUACAUGCAAAAACCUGCAGGCUAUGUCUGUAAAGAUGAUAAAAAUGUUCUUAAAUUAAACAAAGCUAUAUAUGGUCUCAAGCAGGCUUCUCGAGCAAGAUUUGUCAUUUUCUUUUUUCCGUUUUUAUUGUACGCGAAUUAUAAAAUUUCCAAAAAUAAAAAUUUUAUACGUGCAAUCCUCGCGAGUUUAUUUAUUAAGUCCCUUACCCAUCAUAAUCCUGCAGUUCACUACAUAUAUUGGUCCAUUACGGCCGAAGAAAAGAAAUUCUAUGAACGAUAAUAAACAGGCCGAGGCGAAGCCGGCGAGCGACAUUGAAAGAGCGAAAACUUAAAUAAAAAAAAAUAUAUCGGCAAGGCAGGAAGCAGUGCAAACAACGGCGAAGAGGAACUCAGACAGGCAAGCUAAAUCAGGGAUUUUGGCGAGAAGACAUGAGGGCGAUAAAGAUCCUGGUUUCAACUAUGUCUCUUGAAGAACACAGGCAUAAGGUUUAUAUUUUUUUUAAUAAGUAAACAAGAUCACUUUUUUUAGGAGUGAUGCUUUGACAAUUCCAUUGAAGAAUUUUGACCAUCAUUUGGUAAUGAGUAAUUGCAGAAACUAAUAAGGCAGUGUUGGACGAUGUAUAAUCAUUCGUUUGACUAAGAAAUUUUGAAAGAGAAAUAAUUGAAUCAAUUACUCAUUACCAAUGGGUUUUCAUUUUCUUUGUUCAUUAAUGAACAUCCAUUAGAGGGUUGGAGAAUAUUAAAAUCCCUUAAGAUUUCUUGUUGAGCUGAUUUCUCAUAUCCUUUGCUAAGUGUAGGUGGAGACUUUGGUUUAAUAAAAACAGUUUUUUUUUAUGAAGUACUUUUUAUAGCUUUAGGUGAAGAAUGUUGAUGCUGGAUUGAAAAAGUAUUAAGAGUGAUUGAGCAAUGCAUCUGUAUAAGAAAUUCGAGAGACAGAUGGAUGUAACUUUGAAGCUUCUAAGUAGGAAAUACAGCUUUUAGCCAUUGAUUCCUUUAUAGCUCUUUGUCUAAUAAAACCAGAAAUGAACUCAGAGCGUAUAUUACGCAGGAGCGCUCCGUCCGACACGGCGACUCGCUCGCUUCUGAGCUCGAGAGACAACAACGGAGCGUUUUUAUAGCAAGGUAUCGUGGUGUAGCAAACCUACAUUAAUGUCAUUCAUUCUAAAUCAUUCACUAGGUCUUAAACCAGUCAUAAUUUUCAUUCACAAAAUUCGCUUCCAUCGCUGUGCCUGUAAAAACCUUUGUACUUUCUAUAAAUAUCAAUAAACACCCAGUAAUAGUGAUAGUGUUUAUAUUUCACAAGAACCACAAAACCUACAGUCCACUCAGUUAUCCACAACAAACAUGGUCCUUACGAGCCGUAAAUAAGUGAAAUACAAGAAGUGCAACGACACGUGGUUUUCAACAUUCGUGCCACGAGUUAUCACACUACUCGCACGAAUUGGUACAGCAGCGAUUCUGCCGCUUCGAAGCUGCUUCUGGUGGAUCAUACUUGGGCCAAUCGAGCAUUCAUUUGUUGGACCAACAACCUCAAUCAGCAUCAAGAAAGAAGCAAAGCGGUCGGCCAUUUUGUCUUGUUCGACAAUACAUACAUUUUAGGUGUAAACAAGACAAAGUGCACCUGUGCAUCUCGUCAAGUUGGCUUCGUUCGUCUUUCGUCGCGCUCGAGGUAAUUCGGAGGCCGCCGGGAGUGACCGAGAAGAAAAAGGAAGGCGACGACACCAACUUCACAUCAAACGAGUAACAUUUGCACCAAUUUUUUUUCUAUAUUUAUUCGUCCUAUGAACGAACAAAACGGAACAACUCUGCUCACUAUUUCCGUUUCGAUUCGUUUUCGUUGUCAAAAACGUGACACGAACAACGCUAAAUUCGCCAUUUUGUGUUCUUGUUAAUUCUUGUCGAGUCAAUCGUUCAUCUUUGCAUAGAAAUUGUGUUAUUUUAUUUAAUUUUAACAACAUUGUUCGGAA